UACGAAGGGGGCUAGCGUUGCUCGGAAUCACUGGGCGUAAAGGGUGCGUAGGCGGGGCUUUAAGUCAGGGGGGAAAUCCUGGAGCUCAGCUCCAGAACUGCCUUUGAUACUGAGGAUCUUGAGUACGGGAGAGGUGAGUGGAACUGCGAGUGUAGAGGUGAAAUUCGUAGAUAUUCGCAAGAACACCAGUGGCGAAGGCGGCUCACUGGCCCGUAACUGACGCUGAGGCACGAAAGCGUGGGGAGCAAACAGG
rnacentral:rRNA from 1 species